GAUGAACGCUGGCGGCGUGCCUAAUACAUGCAAGUCGAGCGAACAGACGAGGAGCUUGCUCCUCUGACGUUAGCGGCGGACGGGUGAGUAACACGUGGAUAACCUACCUAUAAGACUGGGAUAACUUCGGGAAACCGUAGCUAAUACCGGAUAAUAUAUUGAACCGCAUGGUUCAAUAGUUAAAUACGGUUUUGCUGUCACUUAUAGAUGUAUCCGCGCCUCAUUAGCUAGUUGGUAAGGUAACGGCUUACCAAGGCAACGAUGCGUAGCCGACCUGAGAGGGUGACCGGCCACACUGGAACUGAGACAAGGUCCAGACUCCUACGCGAGGCAGCAGUAGGGAAUCUUCAGCAAAGGGCGAAAGCCUGACGGAGCAACGCCGCGUGAGUGAUGAAGGUCUUCGGAUCGUAAAACUCUGUUAUUAGUGAAGAACAAAUGUGUAAGUAACUAUGCACGUCUUGACGGUACCUAGUCAGAAAGCCACGGCUAACUACGUG
rnacentral:rRNA from 1 species